rnacentral:rRNA from 1 species
GGAAGGGGUGUAUUUAUUAGAUUAAAAACCAAUGCCCUUCGGGGCUCUCUGGUGAUUCAUAAUAACUUCUCGAAUCGCACGGCCUUGCGCCGGCGAUGGUUCAUUCAAAUUUCUGCCCUAUCAACUUUCGACGGCUGGGUCUUGGCCAGCCGUGGUGACAACGGGUAACGGAGGGUUAGGGCUCGACCCCGGAGAAGGAGCCUGAGAAACGGCUACUACAUCCAAGGAAGGCAGCAGGCGCGCAAAUUACCCAAUCCCGACACGGGGAGGUAGUGACAAUAAAUACUGAUACAGGGCUCUUUCGGGUCUUGUAAUUGGAAUGAGUACAAUUUAAAUCCCUUAACGAGGAACAAUUGGAGGGCAAGUCUGGUGCCAGCAGCCGCGGUAAUUCCAGCUCCAAUAGCGUAUAUUAAAGUUGUUGAGGUUAAAAAGCUCGUAGUUGAACCUUGGGCCUAGCCGGCCGGUCCGCCUCACCGCGUGCACUGGCUCGGCUGGGUCUUUCCUUCUGGAGAACCGCAUGCCCUUCACUGGGUGUGCUGGGGAACCAGGACUUUUAC